rnacentral:rRNA from 1 species
UAGGCGAACGGGUGAGUAACGCGUAGGUAACCAACCUCAUACAGGGGGAUAGCCCAGGGAAACUUGGAUUAAACCCGCAUAAGACCACGCUAUCGCAUGAUAAAGUGGUAAAAACUCCGGUGGUAUGAGACGGACCUGCGUCUUAUUAGGUAGUUGGUGAGGUAACGGCUCACCAAGCCGACGAUGAGUAGCCGACCUGAGAGGGUGAUCGGCCACAUUGGGACUGAGACACGGCCCAG